rnacentral:rRNA from 1 species
CCUACGGGAGGCAGCAGUGGGGAAUAUUGCACAAUGGGGGAAACCCUGAUGCAGCGACGCCGCGUGAGUGAAGAAGUAUCUCGGUACGUAAAGCUCUAUUAGUAGGGAAGAAAAUGACGGUACCUGACUAAUAAGCCCCGGCUAACUACGUGCCAGCAGCCGCGGUAAUACGCAGGGGGCAAGCGUUAUCCGGAUUUACUGGGUGUAAAGGGAGCGUAGACGGCAGCACAAGUCUGGAGUGAAAUCCCGGGGCUUAACCCCGGAACUGCUUUGGAAACUGUGCGGCUGGAGUGCAGGAGGGGUGAGCGGAAUUCCUGGUGUAGCGGUGAAAUGCGUAGAUAUUAGGAGGAACACCGGUGGCGAAGGCGGCUUACUGGACUGUAACUGACGUUGAGGCUCGAAAGCGUGGGGAGCAAACAGGAUUAGAUACCCUUGUAGUC